AGGCCAAGGACGUGGCUUGGCCAGGCCUCAAGGGCGAAGGGCGCUGGCACAAACCCUCGCAGGCUCCUGCAGCCGCAGGCCGUGGAGGGGUGGAGGAGGGCAGGACAGACAGCUCUUCCUGCCAGCCUGGCGCGGAGCAGCAGGCAACACCGCAGUGAUGGCACUCUGCCUCAUCGGGGCAGCUGCCGAUUUGGGAGCAAUUUUCCGAAUACAGCUGGGGCAGCUUCUCUGUACUAGGGAGAAAUAUCUGUAGGCCAAAUAAGGGACUUUUUUCGUCUUCCUUUCCUAUACGGUGUCAGGUUGUGGAUCUUUGGCAGGACCCACAGCUGACUGUGCAGCCUCCAGGAGGUGAAACCAGUCCAGCCGAAAGCAGAGGGACAAACGGCACACAACGGCCACGUAAAUCAAAGCGCAAGCCGACCAGAAAGAGAACGCGAAGUCUAACAAGUUUAUCCCUGGAUGAGAUGAUUCGUGCCCUGGAAGCACCUGUUUCUCUCCCCCAACUCAGAUGCUGUCCACUUUUCGCUGGAGGACUCCGUCUCCAAGACACUAGGAUGCCUGGACAGGCAGAGAGCCCAGGAGGACAGGAGCAGCCCCCCAGCUUUCCAGAGGAGAGAACAUGCAGUGGAAACUAUUACAGGGGCAUCCUACGGAAGUGCCGGGAGGCCUCCGCCCGAGCGCCGCGUUCGUCCUGAUCCCUGCCCCUCGCGGAGGCAGCGCAGAGGGCAACGGGAGAUGCUCACACGGCCAAAGCGGUGGCGAUGGCAGUCGAGAGGGGAAGGUGGUGCUUGUGACUCUGCUCCGUACCCUUCAACCAGACAUUUACUGUCUCUGUGCUUGGGUUUUGACCCAGAUAAAGUGGAAAUCCCCAGGAAGCUAGGAGGUUUGAUAGGGGGUACCUGAGGUAUUUCAGAGGUUCUCGUAGGAAGUGUUUUCCAUGAAAUUACUGUAUGAGAAGAAAAAAUUAAUAUAAGAAGAAGGUUAGGAAAACAUUUAAAGAAAGGCAUGGUAAUAAAUAGCCCUUACUUUGUACUCGUCUCCAUGCCACAUAAAGUACAAGCUACUAGGCUACUCCUCGAGAGCACCAAUAUCUGGCUAUGGUUUUUUGCAGUUAUACAAGCAAAAAUACAUGGAUAGUCUUCUCCCAUAAGUGUUCCUCCAAGGGGAAAGCAAGAAAGUUAGCGAAUGAAUUAUAUUAGAUGAUUUACCUGCCAAACCAUCUCUCUUCUUCCAACCACAGCACUACACAAUUGGUUUCCACUCUCUCCCAGUGGCCUUGAAAACAUCAUCACCCUGAGGAGCAGACUGUUCCGAGCUGAGGUUUGUACACCUCAGUCUACAAAAAUAAGCUGGAGUUCUUACAGAGGAAGGCACUUCUAUGUAAUUUCUGACAUAUCCCUUUUUUGAUUCGUGGGUAAGAAGCAUUAAAACAGCGUGAUGUCUUUUACUCCUUAAAACACAUGAAGCAGCUCUUGAAAGGAGAAAGACAUGAAAAAUAAUCCUGUGAUUCUUACAAGGACUAUUUAUCCUUCAACUCAAUAAAUUAGAAGUAGUACCAGUGCCAAUUAUUGCUGUACACCCAGCUAGAACUAAUGUAAGCAGUGAAAUAAUAUCUGUCAGAUGUGAAAACUGUCCAGAAUUAUGAGAUUUAGACAAUCGCUCUAGGUUUCCUGUUUUUCAAAGUCCAUCUUGAUAAGAUUUGGACUAGUUUUCAGAGGUGCUGAGUACCUACAGUCCCAGCGGCAGUGGGAGGGCUGGGCCUGCAGCUGUGUGUCUCUGGAGCAGGGAAGCCUCCGAACCUCUCCCGUUGGCCACCCAGGAAUGGAGGACCCAAAGGCGCAGGGAACUUCACACUGUGGUCAUGCUGGUUGAUAUGGGAGGCCUUUCUGUCUGUGUAGGCUUAAGUCUGUCAACAGUUUCACAUCCAGCAUGCUGUAAACUAUUAAAAAAAAAAAAAAAAAAAAAAAAAAAAAAAAAAGGAAAGAGUCCAUCAGGGAAUUUUAAGAGGGCAAUGCCAAGACUCUGUAGUCAUGGAUGUUUGUGCAAACAUGUAGUUCAAGGGACAUCUGUAGUGACUCCAGAAAAACACGCUGGGGAGUUGUGAUAAUUUCUAGCUGAAAAUUUUCCUUCCUGGUACAGUCCACCUGGCAGCUCACCUGCGGGGAGGCAAAGAGAGCAAUGGCUCCGGGGCCAUCGUGCCAGCUCUCAGCGCGGUGGAGACAUGGCCCUUGUGCUAGAGCUGGGGCGGGGGGAAUUUACUUUGUAGAAUGUUUGCUUUCUGUGCUUUUAUUUUUUUUUCCAGGAAGAGAUAGCUGAAUCUCAGAACUGAUGCACUCCAAAAUCUUAAAUGCUGGCACUGCUUAUUAGCUGCUCGCUCAGUGGAGAAUAUCCUUCCUUAUAUAGGCCUUUUUAGAAACUAGGUCAGAAGAUUUAUGUGAGUACAGGCUGCUAAAAUCCUCUCUGACAGCCUGCCUGCCUUUAUUAUUUUCUUGCCUUGCCCAUUACAGAAGCCAUCGUACCAGCGUCUGCGCUGAUUUCUCCUGGGGUGAGCUGGGAUGACCACAGCAGAUACCUUCAUCUCCUGCCACUGUGAACACCCUCCAGCCAGCGCUCAUCCUCGUGGCCUGUUCAGCAGGUCUGACCCCCCGCAGCAGUUGUCUCCCCAGAAAGGAGAUGCUGUUUUUCAAAGAAACAUGGUAGUGCCACAACAGCCUGGGCCUUCAGUUGAUUUAUCAGUGGAUGAACAUCUAAACGCCAGAUGCUCUCGGGUGCUAAAGGCUGAUGUACUCCAGAUAUGGUGCCUUUGCAGCAAGUACUGCGCUGAGAGGAGGGUUAAUGUCCAGCCAGGGUGUUAUGUGCUCAUCCAAUGCACCCCCUAAAAGCCCAUCAUCUCAAGCGGAGUUUCUAGGAAACAGUCCACUGCAAAUAAUAGCACUAAUAACAACAGAAGCCUUCUGUGAAGUGUUUGCACUGAAACAUAAAACCACACAGAAUAGUCUUGCUUUUAGACACUCCUGUGAACUCAGAAUGCACUGACGAUCGUUUGUGCUGAUGGGAUAUUUCUUGCUGUGUUGUUUGCGGGAGAUGGUAUCUUUCUGUGAUAUACAUAUGUCUACAUACAUAUAUCUAUACCCACACAUAUUCAUACAAUAGAAGUUAAGAUUUAAAAACAA